rnacentral:rRNA from 1 species
AGCAGCCGCGGUAAUUCCAGCUCCAAUAGCGUAUAUUAAAGUUGUUGCAGUUAAAAAGCUCGUAGUUGAAUUUCAGGCCUGGCUGGGCGGUCCGCCCUUCGGGUGAGUACUGCCUGUGGUCGGGUCCUACCUUCUGGCGAAGCGUCAUGGCCUUAACCGGCCGUGGCGGGGAACCAGGACUUUUACUGUGAAAAAAUUAGAGUGUUCAAAGCAGGCAGUCGCUUGGAUACAUUAGCAUGGAAUAAUGGAAUAGGACAAUGGUUCUAUUUGUUGGUUUCUAGGACCACCGUAAUGAUUAAUAGGGAUAGUUGGG